UACGUAGGGCGCAAGCGUUAUCCGGAAUUAUUGGGCGUAAAGAGCUCGUAGGCGGCUCAGUAAGUCGGGUGUGAAACCUCCAGGCUCAACCUGGAGACGCCACCCGAUACUGCUGUGGCUAGAGUCCAGUAGGGGAGUGUGGAAUUCCCGGUGUAGCGGUGAAAUGCGCAGAUAUCGGGAGGAACACCAGCGGCGAAGGCGGCACUCUGGGCUGGUACUGACGCUGAGGAGCGAAAGCGUGGGUAGCAAACAGG
rnacentral:rRNA from 1 species